AACACAUGCGAGUCGAACGAAGAAGUCUUCUUCGUGGCGUACGGGUGAGUAACACACAGGAACCUGCCUUUUAGUUCAGGCUAAAAUUCUGAAUAAUCAAAGAAAUCUUUUCGCUAAAAGAUGAGCCUGUGGAGGAUUAGGUAGUUGGUAUUGGGUAAAAGCCUACCAAGCCGAUGAUCCUUAGCUGUUCUGAGAGGUUGUACAGCCACACUGGGACUGAGACAAGGCCCAGGCUCCAUAGGGGGCCAGCAGUGAGGAAUUUUGGACAAUGAGCGAAAGCUUGAUCCAGCAAUACUACAUGAGUGAUGAAGGCUUUCAAGUUGUAAAACUCUUUGGUUGAGGAGGAUAAUGACAGUACUCAACAAAAUAGCCCCGGCUAACUUCGUGCCAGCAGCCGCGGUAAGACGAAGGGGGCGAGCGUUAUCCGGAAUGACUGGGCGUAAAGGGUCCGUAGGCAGCAUUUUUUGUUAGAGGUAAAACAAAAAAGCUUAACUUUUUUUGGCUUCUAAAACGUAAAUGCUUGGAGUUUGAAAGGAGAUAGCAGAAUUUCACAUGGAGGGGUGAUAUCCGUAGAUAUGUGAAGGAAUACCAGAGGCGAAGGCGGCUAUCUAGUUCAAUACUGACGUUGAGGGACGAAAGCAUGGGGAGCAAACAGGAUUAGAUACCCUGGUAGUCCAUGCCCUAAAAGAUGAGUGCUCGUGCUUAGAGGGUUUUAGGCACUUAGUUAACACGUUAAGCACUCCGCCUGGGGAGUACGACCGCAAGGUUGGAACUCAAAGGAAUUGACGGGGGCCUAUACAAGUGGUGGAGCAUGUGUUUAAUGCGACAAUACGCGCGAAACCUUACCAGUUCUGACAUAAAAAAAAAAGAUCGAAAGGAAGAUUCGAAGAUUUUACAGGUGCUGCAUGCUGUCGUCAGCUCGUGUCGUGAGAUGUUAGUAACUCCUCUAACGGGCGAAACCCCUGU
rnacentral:rRNA from 1 species